AUUGAACGCUGGCGGCAGGCCUAACACAUGCAAGUCGAGCGGAUGAAGGGAGCUUGCUCCUGGAUUCAGCGGCGGACGGGUGAGUAAUGCCUAGGAAUCUGCCUGGUAGUGGGGGAUAACGUCCGGAAACGGGCGCUAAUACCGCAUACGUCCUGAGGGAGAAAUUGGGGGAUCUUCGGACCUCACGCUAUCAGAUGAGCCUAGGUCGGAUUAGCUAGUUGGUGGGGUAAAGGCCUACCAAGGCGACGAUCCGUAACUGGUCUGAGAGGAUGAUCAGUCACACUGGAGCUGAGACACGGUCCAGACUCCUAAGGGAGGCAGCAGUGGGGAAGAUUGGACAAUGGGCGAAAGCCUGAUCCAGCCAUGCCGCGUGUGUGAAGAAGGUCUUCGGAUUGUAAAGCACUUUAAGUUGGGAGGAAGAGCAGUAAGUUAAUACCUUGCUGUUUUGACGUUACCAACAGAAUAAGCACCGGCUAACUUCGUG
rnacentral:rRNA from 1 species